rnacentral:rRNA from 1 species
AUUGAACGCUGGCGGCAGGCCUAACACAUGCAAGUCGAACGAGUGGCGGACGGGUGAGUAAUGUCUGGGAAACUGCCUGAUGGAGGGGGAUAACUACUGGAAACGGUAGCUAAUACCGCAUACCAGCGGAUGUGCCCAUAUGGGAUUAGCUAGUAGGUGGGGUAAAGGCUCACCUAGGCGACGAUCCCUAGCUGGUCUGAGAGGAUGACCAGCCACACUGGAACUGUGACAUGGUCCAGACUCCUACGGGAGGCAGCAGUGGGGAAUAUUGCACAAUGGGCGCAAUCCUGAUGCAGCCAUGCCGCGUGUAUGAAGAAGGCCUUCGGGUUGUAAAGUACUUUCAGCGGGGAGGCGUUACCCUCAGAAGAAGCACCGGCUAACUCCGUGCCAGCAGCCGCGGUAAUAC